rnacentral:rRNA from 1 species
UACGGGGGGGGUAAGCGUUGUUCGGAAUCACUGGGCGUAAAGGGCGUGUAGGCGGGAAGGAAAGUCAGAUGUGAAAUCCCCAGGCUCAACCUGGGAACUGCAUUUGAAACUCCCUUUCUUGAGUACCGGAGAGGAAAGUGGAAUUCCUGGUGUAGAGGUGAAAUUCGUAGAUAUCAGGAGGAACACCAGUGGCGAAGGCGGCUUUCUGGACGGUAACUGACGCUGAGACGCGAAAGCGUGGGGAGCAAACAGG